UCGACUGCUCGAGAUGUGAUCGGCGGCGAGCUUGUGAGGAACUUUUUUGGGCUUUCGCAGUGGUCGCUUCUCUCGAAUUGGAGCUCAAACACUUUCUUCAACCCUUAUCCCAUUCGAACACAACCCCACCAAUCUUUCUUUGUUGGAGGGAGUUUCUGAGGUGAACCAUUCCUAGGGAAUUUGGGGAAGGAAUGAUGAAGACAUGUAUUCAGAGCCAUCUAUUCUUUGUGCAAGUCAGGUGUGAUCACAGAGUAAAGAUGUAAAAUUCAUGGCUAAUGGUUAUGUUCUAUGAAGGCUUGACAUAUUUGACAGAGUAUGGGAUGCAAAAAUAUGUACACAAUCCAAAUUUCCAUGUUGAUAGUUCUGUUCCGGGACUAUACUAGGAGGAUUGGCUAGUGGCUUUAUGACAUAUCUUGCAACUCCCUUGGAUGUGAUCAAAACAAGAUUGCAAAUACUGGGGUCAAAGGUGCAAUGGCUGCUUGGAUGCAGUUUGUAGCAUAUAAAUGGUUGAAGAUGCACAGGGGAUGUUUUAGAGGUAGCAGUCUCAGGAUCACCCAAUGUUACAAGCAAUGAAGGAUUAGACAAUGUUGCAAGCAAGAAGUUGCUAGCAUGUAGUAGAGGAAUGGGGAUCGCAUUUACAGAGGAGCGGUGUGAGGAACUUGCACUGAAUACCCAUCUCAUCGUAGUUUGGACGUACACAUUUAAUAUUGUUUUCAUGUAAUUUGUACAUAAAUAUAAAGAGAGUGAAUGAA